GACGAACGCUGGCGGCGUGCUUAACACAUGCAAGUCGAGCGGGGAUGAUUGAGGAAGUUCUUCGGAAUGGAAUUAAUCAUUCUAGCGGCGGACGGGUGAGUAACGCGUGAGCAAUCUGUCCCAGACAGGGGGAUAACACUUGGAAACAGGUGCUAAUACCGCAUAAGACCACAGUAUCGCAUGGUACAGAGGUAAAAGAUGCAAAUCGGUUUGGGGUGAGCUCGCGUCCCAUUAGCUAGUUGGCGAGGUAACGGCCCACCAAGGCGACGAUGGGUAGCCGACCUGAGAGGGUGAUCGGCCACAUUGGGAACUGAGACACGGGUCCAGACUCCUACGGGAGGCAGCAGUGGGGAAUAUUGGGCAAUGGGCGCAAGGCCUGACCCAGCAACGCCGCGUGAAGGAAG
rnacentral:rRNA from 1 species